AUGCUUACAAAUCGACAGGAUUUGCGCCCAUCAGGAUUUGCUGCCAAACUUAGGAAGCAGCUUGCACGUACCUUCUUGGCUUGUGGCUUUGAUGGUUCGAAAAAAGAGGUGAAGGAUUCUACUAGCACAACAAAGUUCAGUGAUGUCAAGGGAGUGGAUGACGCGAAAGCCGAACUCGAGGACAUAGUACUAUGUCUGCGGGAGCCCAAGCGUUUCGCACACCUCGGCGGCAAGCUUCCAAGAGGUGUCCUGCUAGUCGGCGGGCCUGGCGUGGGGAAGACAAUGCUGGCAAGGGCGAUGGCCGGGGAAGCCGGCGUCCCGUUCUUCACGUGCAGAGGCAGCAAAUUCGAGGAGAAUCAUGUGGGUGCUGGGGCUAAAAGGGUGAGGGAGCUCUUCACUACUGCAAAGAAGCGAUCUCCUUGCAUAGUGUUCAUCGAUGAGAUUGAUGCCAUUGCUGGGAGCAGGAGCUCACAAGAUUCAAAGCGCAUAGACACACCGUUAAUCAGCUGCUCGUCGAGCUAG
rnacentral:rRNA from 1 species